rnacentral:rRNA from 1 species
AGAGUUUGAUCCUGGCUCAGAUUGAACGCUGGCGGCAUGCUUUACACAUGCAAGUCGAACGGCAGCACGGGGGCAACCCUGGCGGCGAGUGGCGAACGGGUGAGUAAUACAUCGGAACGUAUCCUUGAGUGGGGGAUAACGCAGCGAAAGUUGUGCUAAUACCGCAUGAGCUCUGAGGAGGAAAGUGGGGGACCGUAAGGCCUCACGCUGAAGGGGCGGCCGAUGUCCGAUUAGCUAGUUGGUGAGGUAAAGGCUCACCAAGGCUUCGAUCGGUAGCUGGUCUGAGAGGAUGAUCAGCCACACUGGGACUGAGACACGGCCCAGACUCCUACGGGAGGCAGCAGUGGGGAAUUUUGGACAAUGGGGGCAACCCUGAUCCAGCCAUGCCGCGUGAGUGAAGAAGGCCUUCGGGUUGUAAAGCUCUUUCGUGAGGGAAGAAACGGCCAUAGUGAAUAGCUGUGGUUACUGACGGUACCUCAAGAAGAAGCACCGGCUAACUACGUGCCAGCAGCCGCGGU